AACUAAGUAGCUCAUAAUUAGAGCAUUGCAGUGAAGAUGCAAAGGAGCUAAUUUAGCCGUAGUUA
rnacentral:tRNA from 1 species